UCCGAAUGGGGAAACCCAGUAGAUGAAGAAUCUACUAUCACUUACUGAAUCCAUAGGUAAGUGAGGCAAACCGGGAGAACUGAAACAUCUAAGUACCCCGAGGAAAAGAAAUCAACCGAGAUUUCGUUAGUAGCGGCGAGCGAACGCGAAGGAGCCUGUUAGUGAUAAUGACAGAGACAGAGGAACAAGCUGGGAAGCUUGGCGAUACAGGGUGAUAGCCCCGUACUCGAAGUCCAGGUCAUGGUACUAAGCUAACGACAAGUAGGGCGGGACACGUGAUAUCCUGUUUGAAGAUGGGGGGACCAUCCUCCAAGGCUAAAUACUCCUGAUUGACCGAUAGUGAACCAGUACUGUGAAGGAAAGGCGAAAAGAACCCCGGUGAGGGGAGUGAAAUAGAACCUGAAACCUUGUACGUACAAGCAGUGGGAGCCCUUUAAGGGUGACUGCGUACCUUUUGUAUAAUGGGUCAGCGACUUAUAUUUUGUAGCGAGGUUAACCGAAUAGGGGAGCCGAAGGGAAACCGAGUCUUAACUGGGCGUCUAGUUGCACUGGAGGACCGAACCGACUAAUGUUGAAAAAUUAGCGGAUGACUUGUGGCUGGGGGUGAAAGGCCAAUCAAACCGGGAGAUAGCUGGUUCUCCCCGAAAUCUAUUUAGGUAGAGCCUUGAGCGGACACCUUCGGGGGUAGAGCACUGUUUCGGCUAGGGGUCCAUCCCGGAUUACCAACCCGAUGCAAACUACGAAUACCGAAGAGUGAUACUCAGGAGACACACGGCGGGUGCUAACGUCCGUCGUGGAGAGGGAAACAACCCAGACCGCCAGCUAAGGUCCCAAAGUCUAUAUUAAGUGGGAAACGAAGUGGGAAGGCUUAGACAGCUAGGAUGUUGGCUUAGAAGCAGCCAUCAUUUAAAGAAAGCGUAAUAGCUCACUAGUCGAGUCGGCCUGCGCGGAAGAUGUAACGGGGCUCAAAUAUAGCACCGAAGCUGCGGCAUCAGUAGCAGUACUGUUGGGUAGGGGAGCGUUCUGUAAGCGGAUGAAGAUGGCUCGAGAGGGCUGUUGGACGUAUCAGAAGUGCGAAUGCUGACAUAAGUAACGAUAAAACGGGUGAAAAACCCGUUCGCCGGAAGACCAAGGGUUCCUGUCCAACGUUAAUCGGGGCAGGGUGAGUCGGCCCCUAAGGCGAGGCUGAAAAGCGUAGUCGAUGGGAAACGGGUUAAUAUUCCCGUACUUGGAUAAACUGCGAUGUGGGGACGGAGCAGGUUAGGUUAUCGCACUGUUGGAUAUGUGCGUUUAAGUUUGUAGGUGUGAAGUUUAGGCAAAUCCGGACUUCUUUAACACUGAGAGAUGAUGACGAGGCUCUACGGAGCUGAAGUAACCGAUACCACACUUCCAGGAAAAGCCACUAAGCUUCAGGUUUAUCUAAACCGUACUGAAAACCGACACAGGUGGUCAGGUAGAGAAUACUCAGGCGCUUGAGAGAACUCGGGUGAAGGAACUAGGCAAAAUAGCACCGUAACUUCGGGAGAAGGUGCGCCGGCGUAGAUUGUAGUCCCUUGCGGAUGAAGGUUGAACCGGUCGAAGAUACCAGCUGGCUGCAACUGUUUAUUAAAAACACAGCACUCUGCAAACACGAAAGUGGACGUAUAGGGUGUGAUGCCUGCCCGGUGCUGGAAGGUUAAUUGAUGGUGUAAUCGAAAGAGAAGCUCCUGAUCGAAGCCCCAGUAAACGGCGGCCGUAACUAUAACGGUCCUAAGGUAGCGAAAUUCCUUGUCGGGUAAGUUCCGACCUGCACGAAUGGCAUAAUGA
rnacentral:rRNA from 1 species